GCUCUUUGACCCAUCAAGCCAUAAAUUUAGGCUGGGUCAUUGGCCUUAUCCCGCACCGAAGUUGAAACUUACACCAUCUGUUCACAUCAUCAGUUCUUCUGGUUCUCAUGCUUUUGAACUUCAACUGGCACAAUUCCACUGGCUCUCCUUAGUCUCCAGGUUGCAGAUGGCAGAUUAUAAAUCUCCUUAGCCUCCACCUUUAUAAUCCUAACUAUUACUGACACCUCUUUGAGGACAAAGGAAGUAGCUUUCUGCAAGCCAAAAAGACCUCAGAAAAACAACAAAUCUUCCAAACUCUUGAUUUUGACUUUUUGCCUCCAGAAUUGUGAAGAAA
rnacentral:lncRNA from 10 species